rnacentral:rRNA from 1 species
GACGAACGCUGGCGGCGUGCUUAACACAUGCAAGUCGAACGGAAAGGCCCUGCUUGCUGUGUACUCGUGUGGCGAACGGGUGAGUUACACGUUGGUGAUCUGCCCUCCACUUCGGGAUUAGCUUGGGAAACUGGGUCUAAUUCCGGACAGGUGCUAUUUUUAGCGUGAUGGUUGGAAAGUUUUGUCGGUUUAGGUUGAGCUGGCGUGCUAUCAGCUUGCUGAGGGUGUUAUGGCCUACCAAGGCGGCGGCGGGCAGCCGGACUGAGAGGGGGGACGGCGACAUUGGGACUGAGAGAAGGCACAGACUCCUAAGGGAGGCAGCAGUGGGGAAGAUUGCACGAGGAGCGCAGGCCGGAUGAAGAGGGGCCGCGUGGGGGAUGACGGCCUUAGGGUUGAAGAAUACAUGCGCUAGGAACGAAGCAUUGUGUGACGGUACCUAGAUAGAAAGCACCGGCUAACUACGUG